CCCACCCUCCCACUGCAGCUGGCAUCUGUGUUGCACUGCAGCUGAUUUGUACUGCAGGCUGAGACAUGAGACGGCAACUUUGUGUCCCAUUACAGGCAGUUAAAUGCCGCUGAAACGAAGGACUGAACAAAGGGCUGCAGGAAUAAAGGACUGAAGGAUUGUCUGUUAAACUGUAUUGGACUGAUAAUGUAGAGCCUAUGCAGGUAUAAAAUUAUCCAGAAUUAUCAACGGAGCAGAAACCAGAUCACAUCUGAGCAACAGAUCAUUUGGCAGAGAAAUAUAAAUUACGAGUUUUAGCACAAUUUUGUGCAUAUCUACACACAGAACUGCUCAUCCUCAGAUUUGUCUUCUCCCUUAUCCUGGAGACAAGGAAAAACAUAGCAAAUCUCCCUGA
rnacentral:lncRNA from 1 species